AGCGAACGCUGGCGGCAGGCCUAAAACAUGCAAGUCGAACGGAUCCUUCGGGAUUAGUGGCGGACGGGUGAGUAACACGUGGAACGUGCCUUUUGGUUCGGAACAACUCAGGGAAACUUGAGCUAAUACCGAAUGUGCCCUUCGGGGAAAGAUUUAUCGCCAUUAGAGCGGCCCGCGUCUGAUUAGCUUGUUGGUGAGGUAAAGGCUCACCAAGGCGACGAUCAGUAGCUGGUCUGAGAGGAUGAUCAGCCACACUGGGACUGAGACACGGCCCAGACUCCUACGGGAGGCAGCAGUUAGGAAUCUUGCGCAAUGGGGGAAACCCUGACGCAGCCAUGCCGCGUGGAUGAUGAAGGUCUUAGGAUUGUAAAAUUCUUUCAGCGGGGACGAUAAUGACGGUACCCGCAGAAGAAGCCCCGGCUAACUUCGUGCCAGCAGCCGCGGUAAU
rnacentral:rRNA from 1 species